rnacentral:rRNA from 1 species
AACGAACGCUGGCGGCAUGCCUAACACAUGCAAGUCGAACGAAGGCUUCGGCCUUAGUGGCGCACGGGUGCGUAACGCGUGGGAAUCUGCCCUUAGGUUCGGAAUAACAGUUGGAAACGACUGCUAAUACCGGAUGAUGGCGAAAGUCCAAAGAUUUAUCGCCUGAGGAUGAGCCCGCGUAGGAUUAGCUAGUUGGUGCGGUAAGAGCGCACCAAGGCGACGAUCCUUAGCUGGUCUGAGAGGAUGAUCAGCCACACUGGGACUGAGACACGGCCCAGACUCCUACGGGAGGCAGCAGUGGGGAAUAUUGGACAAUGGGCGAAAGCCUGAUCCAGCAAUGCCGCGUGAGUGAUGAAGGCCUUAGGGUUGUAAAGCUCUUUUACCCGGGAUGAUAAUGACAGUACCGGGAGAAUAAGCUCCGGCUAACUCCGUGCCAGCAGCCGCCGUAAAAC